AAUAGAUACCCAGGUAGUCCAUGCCGUAAACGGUGGGCGCUAGGUGUGGGGGUCUUCCACGACUUCUGUGCCGUAGCUAACGCAUUAAGCGCCCCGCCUGGGGAGUACGGCCGCAAGGCUAAAACUCAAAGGAAUUGACGGGGGCCCGCACAAGCGGCGGAGCAUGUGGAUUAAUUCGAUGCAACGCGAAGAACCUUACCUGGGCUUGACAUACGCCGGAUCGCCGCAGAGAUGUGGUUUCCCUUGUGGCCGGUGUACAGGUGGUGCAUGGUUGUCGUCAGCUCGUGUCGUGAGAUGUUGGGUUAAGUCCCGCAACGAGCGCAACCCUUGUCUUGUGUUGCCAGCACGUUAUGGUGGGGACUCGCGAGAGACUGCCGGGGUUAACUCGGAGGAAGGUGGGGAUGACGUCAAAUCAUCAUGCCCCUUAUGUCCAGGGCUUCACACAUGCUACAAUGGUCGGUACAGUGGGUUGCGAUGCCGUGAGGUGGAGCUAAUCCCUUAAGCCGGUCUCAGUUCGGAUUGGAGU
rnacentral:rRNA from 1 species